AACGCUGGCGGCGUGCCUAAUACAUGCAAGUCGAACGAACUUCCGUUAAUUGAUUAUGACGUACUUGUACUGAUUGAGAUUUUAACACGAAGUGAGUGGCGAACGGGUGAGUAACACGUGGGUAACCUGCCCAGAAGUAGGGGAUAACACCUGGAAACAGAUGCUAAUACCGUAUAACAGAGAAAACCGCAUGGUUUUCUUUUAAAAGAUGGCUCUGCUAUCACUUCUGGAUGGACCCGCGGCGUAUUAGCUAGUUGGUGAGGUAAAGGCUCACCAAGGCAGUGAUACGUAGCCGACCUGAGAGGGUAAUCGGCCACAUUGGGACUGAGACACGGCCCAGACUCCUACGGGAGGCAGCAGUAGGGAAUCUUCCACAAUGGACGCAAGUCUGAUGGAGCAACGCCGCGUGAGUGAAGAAGGGUUUCGGCUCGUAAAGCUCUGUUGUUAAAGAAGAACGUGGGUAAGAGUAACUGUUUACCCAGUGACGGUAUUUAACCAGAAAGCCACGGCUAACUA
rnacentral:rRNA from 1 species